CAUGUUGGAUAGGCUGGUCUUGAACUCCAGACCUUACGAUCUGCCUGCCUUGGCCUCCCAAAGUGCUAGGAUUACAGGCAUGAGCCACCACGCCCAGCGCAGGAUAGUAUAUUUUUAUAGUACUUCCCUUACUGAUUGCUGCCUUCUCUGUGGCUCCAAGGGACCAACAGAGUUACAGGAAAGCAGGUUUCAUCUCAGUAUUAGGAGAUAUUUCAAGCAUCAGACCUGCCUAAGAAGGAAUGGGCUGUCACUAGGAAUUUUUAUUCCCAGUCAGUCAGGAAUUUUGUAGAAGGGAUUCAUGUGCUGGUACCAAUAGGACAGGAACAUUUUAAUCAGCUUUACUUUCUAUGUUUCUUUGUGGAAACGGUGUGUGUAUGUGUACAUACAUUUUCCAAAAAGGAAAAUUAAAUGAUUAUAGAGAUUAUGUUUUUCAGACUACCCACAUAUCUGCUGUUCUUACUCCCCACUUCUGCUGAUGAUUCCUAGAUCAUUAGCUUUUCACCCACACUGGAAUUACCUGGAAAGUUUUAAGAACCCUGAUGACUGGGUCCCACCCUCAGAGAUGAUUGAACCAGCCUGGCCAGCAUGGCGAAACCCUGUCUCUACUAUGAUAUGAGGGCAGCCUGGGCACUGGGAAAUUUAAAAGCUCCCCAGAGAAUUCUGUGCAGCCAAAGUUGAGGCCUCCUGGUCUAGAGCUUUGCUAUACACAGUGUGGUCCACAAGCCAAGAGCAUCAGCAUCACUUGGCAGCCCCUUAGAGAUUCAGACCCCUGGCCCACUGAAUCUGUCCAUGUAUUUUCACUAGACCCCAGGUGACCAACUGCACUUGACUCAACCUCUAAACCAUGACCUUCCACCCUCACAAUCUGUGAUCCUUUCGUGACCCUCAGCUGAGUCUGUGCUGAACUGUGUUUGCUCUCUUUGAGCAAAGCCCGCUGAUCAGAGACAGCCUGGAUGAGCAAGAAGCCUGCUAGCUAUGGAGAGGAGCCAGGCUGAGUAAAUGCUGUGACUAAGCCAGGAUCAGAGAACUGACUGUUGCUUGCACUGGCUGGCAUUGAGCUUGCCACUCUGUGAGCUGUGCUUCCUUCCCCUGCAGGGCCCUGUGCCUCAGUCCCUAUUAUCCACAGGCCUCCUCCAAGGGCAGCCCUCUCCCCGUUAAUCCCCCUUAAGCCUGAGUGCAGGAAGGCACAUGAACCUUGCGGCACCCUGCAGGCAGGAGGGUGUCGGGUGCCCUGAGCUACCUUGCCCUUUUUCUUGUACUGUAAGCAGUGCCGUUUCUGAGUUCGUGUACGUGUGUGUAGAAGCGCUGCACCCACCUUGUGUUAUUGGGGGUUGUGUAUCCCCCCAGCUUUGAGCCUGGUCUCAGCUGUUCCUUUCCUGUUCUCUGUCCAGUCGUUACUGCCCCCAGUCUGUAAUAAAAUCCUGUCAGCUGUGCACUUUAUUGAUGUUCAACCCUGUCUGGUCUCCCUCGACCCCCAAGGAGGGGACUUGAGGAAAUUUAAUAGACUUUUCUGCCCCCUCAUUUCUCCGCAUCAAGUAGGCCUAUGUCCAGCAGGGGGAGCCCGUCGCACAGGGUCGGCCCCUUCCGGGCAGUGAAGGCCAGUUCUAGCCGGCCUCCCUUGCCUCCCGCUUCCUCUGCUUGGGCCGCGUCCCAGUGAAACUGUGGUCGAUAACCGGCAGCCUCUCCCAGUUCCCGCACAUAUUUACGCUCUCGGUUCCUCCUCUUUCCCUGUUCUCAUAAAAACUUGCAGCUGCCUCACUCUGCUUCCCUGGGCAGUCAGAUCUCCCUUUGGCUUCUAGUAUCUACCCCAUAUCCAUCUGGCACCCCAGCUUAGAAACACAGGUGGACUUUACCUAGAAGAUGGAGCUGGGGUCAGCAUGCAAGGGUCAGAGGGGUUGUGGACACUCUUACCCAGAGUGGUGAUGGUAAGAUUGGAGGAGGUGGUAGUACAGUACCAGUGUUAUCUAGAACCUUAGGUUGGUGGCCCAGGACCCAACCUUAUUGCUCCCCACUCAGGGAAACUGAGAAUGGGCGGAUGUGGGAGAUGCCUGUAGUCUGGGGUCUUAGGGGACACUCUGCUUCAAAGCUGGUUGGCUUUAUCCCAAUGCUUCCAGAGUUUGUCCAGCCUCCUCAAACGAUGCUCACCUCCCAGGAUCCAAGACCCAGACGUUGCUCCCUCCCCUCCCCACUUCCCCUUCUGCAGAAGGUGUCUGUGCUUUUCUUUGUUCUGAACUUCAGUUUCCUGUUCCCACAGCAGCUCCUGGAGUCACGGUGAACCUGAAACCCAGCCCCUCCCAGCUAAGUAAACAGAAGCAGAGGCCGGCUCAGGCUAAUGAAUAUUCAUCAUGCUGGAAAUUCAAUCCUAGCGCCCAUGCGUCCACCCAGAAGCCGGGGACCUCCGGGGGACUGCCACGCUGGAGGAGGGAAUCCCAAGGGAGAUCUGGAGUGGCGGAGCACAGGAGGCUGUCUCUCAGUUUCCCCACUGUUGGGUGUCUGGUUGCACUUCCCAGCUGUAGCCAAGGUCACUCUACGCAUUUCAUCUUUCAAGGAAGCUCAGAUCCCUCUCCAGCAUGGACCACCACCUGGAUGUUGCCCAGAGCACAACCGGGAAAGGGUUAAGGGCUGCUGCUUCCAUUGGCAGGCUGGGUAGGACAGGGUGCACCCCAGCUUCCUUUGAACUCCCUGAGUCGAAACCAGUCCCUGGUUAAACUGGUUGGCAGACCGGUUCCCAGGCUGUCACUCCCCUGCCUGAAGCCUCAAAGUGGGGACUGGGUUGGGGGCUGUGGCUUCCUCCUGACCCAAGGAGCCCCUCCUUAAAAUCUCCCUAGGUAGAAAAAAAGGGGUACCAGCCUCUCCUCGGGUCAGGCUCUCAAGACCCACCACAACCUCAAACACUGUCAUCCCUCUCCCCCUUUGCUUGGAGGUGGGCUUCAAGGCCCUUGAGAUCAUAUGCAGAAUUCCAUGUUUGUGGGCAGGGGCAUUGAUUUUUCUGCAUAGAUUAUACUCGUAGCAGACUCUCAAAGAGACUUGUGACAGUCUCUCCAUUAGCAAAGUACCACUGGCUUCAACUCCUCCCAGCAGUCAAUCGAAAGGGCCUUCCUGGGUAUUAUAAAGUUGGCAAAACCUGGAGCAAGUUCUCAAGGAAAGGAGAGAUAGGCCCCUAGUGAGGCUGGAAGAGAAGGAAAGGCAAGAAGGCAGGAGAUGGGCACAUGGUUGGGGACAGGGGCAGAGUGUGUGCACACAGGGGGCGAUCGUCCUCUCUGAUCUGCAGCCACACUCCCCCUGUAAACCCACCAUCGGCCAAGCCUGUGUGCAGCCCUCAGCCAGGGCUGCUCUUGCAGAUGGCUCUGUGCCUGGGGAGCAUUGCUGUGCAGCCACCAAGGGGUGGCCUCUCCUGUUUGCACUUGCGUUCUCUCUCCCCUUGGAUGGGCAUCGCUGGAGAGUAGAAAACAUCUGCUGCAUACUCAAUGUCUCUGCCACUCCUGGGCCCACUGCAGCCCAGCUCAGGUGCCAAUCCAAGCACCAGCUACCUUCCUUCAUGGACUGGGGAUGUGCGUGUCAGGCACAGAGUGAGGCAUGAGGUAGAGAAAGGCAUAAAAUCCCCCCUUUCCCUGGCUCUCCCUCUAAGUUACAUUGGAAAUCCCAGCUCACUAACUCUAAGAGCUGUCCUCCAUCUCCAAUCCUGCUUCUACCCACUCCAGCUUCUGAUGGCCUCUUGGGUUUGUAUUCUCCAUCUGAAACAGCCCCUCUUCCCUUAAAAUGUCCUUGGGUGGACAGUCCUCCAAAGGCUCCCCACAGCCCAUAGCAGAACCCACUUGGCCUGGCUCUCCUAGGAUGGGACCUCUGCAGCCUCCUCUCACGCCCACCCCGCCAUGUCAACUGUCCCUGAACAGUAGACGCUUCUCUGCCUGCCUUGGUAGGCACAAGGCUGCCUUAGAACGGUGGGAUUAGAAGUGCUGGCUGUGCUCUUGGGUAGCAAUGUCCUCCCCAUCACCUGUGUGACCCAAAACAAACUCCUAUUCAUCCCUCAAAACCUGAAUUAAUGAUUACACCUUCCACCCUACCAGACGUUUUCUUGUUUUCCUUUCUGUGUUCCCAUAGAACCUGCUCAUAUACUUCUAUUUAACAUGAUAUAUAUACCAUUAUUGAUUUCCACUUAUAAACUUUUAGCUCUUUGAGCCCAGAAUUAUGUAUCACUGAUACAGGCCUGACAUAUAGUAGGUACUUAUGCAAGCCUGAAAAUACAAAUGAGAAACACAAACAUUGUUUUUACCCAAAUAAACUGUUAAUGUAGCCAA